UACGUAGGGGGCGAGCGUUAUCCGGAUUUAUUGGGCGUAAAGCGUGCGUAGGCGGUUUAUUAAGUCUAAGGUCAAAUACUGAAGCUCAACUUCAGUGAGCCUUAGAAACUGGUAGACUUGAGUGUAGUAGAGGUAAGUGGAAUUUCUAGUGUAGCGGUAAAAUGCGUAGAUAUUAGAAGGAACACCAGUGGCGAAGGCGGCUUACUGGGCUAUUACUGACGCUGAGGCACGAAAGCGUGGGGAGCAAAUAGG
rnacentral:rRNA from 1 species